rnacentral:tRNA from 1 species
GUCCUUAUAAUAUAAAAAAUAUAUCACAUUUUCAAUGUGCAAAUAGGGCUGCGCCCUUGAGGAUU